UAAAUACUAAAAUUUUCCAAUUUCCAGACACAAUGAUAAAGAGAAGAUUAGCAUGGCCCCUGAACAAGGAUGACAUACAAAUUUGUGAAGUAUUCCAUAUUUUU